rnacentral:rRNA from 1 species
GAAGGGGUGUAUUUAUUAGAUAAAAACCAACCCUUCGGGUCCCUUGGUGAAUCAUAAUAACUUCUCGAAUCGCAUGGCCUUGCGCCGGCGAUGCUUCAUUCAAAUAUCUGCCCUAUCAACUGUCGAUGGUAGGAUAGAGGCCUACCAUGGUUGCAACGGGUAACGGGGAAUAAGGGUUCGAUUCCGGAGAGGGAGCCUGAGAAACGGCUACCACAUCCAAGGAAGGCAGCAGGCGCGCAAAUUACCCAAUCCCGACACGGGGAGGUAGUGACAAUAAAUAACAAUAUAGGGCUUUUAUAGGUCUUAUAAUUGGAAUGAGUACAAUUUAAAUCCCUUAACGAGGAACAAUUGGAGGGCAAGUCUGGUGCCAGCAGCCGCGGUAAUUCCAGCUCCAAUAGCGUAUAUUAAAGUUGUUGCAGUUAAAAAGCUCGUAGUUGAACUUCAGGCCUGGCCGGUCGGUCCGCUUCACAGCGUGUACUGCUUGGCCGGGC